rnacentral:lncRNA from 1 species
CUCAUGUGCUUUGAGUGCUCUGCUACUGCCAGGACCAAGACAAGUAAUAAAGAGAAGAAAGAAAGAGUUCC